GGCGGCCGUGGGUCUGGCUGUAUAAUCCUUCACAUGGGUCAUGAUCCUUUGUCAACCCAUUCCUGUGUAAUGAUGGAUGUGGGUGGGCGGGAAUGACUUCCCAAUAUAAUUUCUAUCCAUUUCAUUUUCUUUGCAGAGGGAAGAGAGAAGCCCCUCCCAUUCGCUUCUACUGGGGCUUGUUAAGCCAUCGCCUUGGGGGCCAGCUGAUCAGCGGCAGCCAGCAGCCAGCAGCUUCUGCAGGCAGGAGCAAGGACAGCCUGUGGCUACUGCAGCCCCACUGCCCGGCCACACUUCAUGACGGGAGAGUGCCUUGGGAGGAAUGUAAAGGCAAACCGUGGACUGUACGAGAGGAAAAAAAGGUGCUUCAUAUCCCAACCAAAAGUAUUCUCUGUCUGAGGACCAUUGCCCAAGUGUGAAGUAGGAGACUUGUGCAAUUCAAAGGCACCCAUGCGAUGCUCGUGCGAAGCUCUUUUCUCAGCCAGGCACGACAGGUAUGGAGCCGGCCCUGGGAAGUGGGAUCUAGAAUGACAACCCCUGGCACAGGGCUAAGGAGCUUUAGGAGUGGUGAAAUCUCAUUGUAUCACUGCAAACAGAAGCUGCAUCCCUGCAUGGGAAGCAUUAGGUCACCUCCCAGGCAGGAGCAAACAUUUGGUGGGAAGGACUAGGAGGUUGGCUGCUUGCUCUUCUCUUUCAGCAGUGACAUCUCCACCGUGCUUGUCCCACAUCUCCAGAAAGGUGGUUCCAGGUACAAAAGCUCAAGUGGACUGGAGGCUCCCAAAGCUUCUCCCCGUGCCAUCUCCCCACUGGCUGCUGGGUCCAGUGGUGGCCGCCCCUUGGGUACUAGGAACUCCUAGUUCUACAAUGAGAAGCUGCAAGGUACAGCUGUAAGUUUUGUCCUCAUGCUCACCCCCUUAUGCUGUCUCCUCCAAUAAUGCAUGUGAUUUGGUCUCUACAGGACCCCCAGAGGCCCAUGGACUGGAGCUGUUAAUGUCCUGCAGAUAAGAGCCACUCUCUCGCUGUGAUCACCAAGGUACCCAGGGCCUCCGGAGGCCACAAAGAAUGGAUAAUUGCAACCCACAGGCCUCCUUCAGAUUUCCUCCAAGCCCUUCUGGUCAGCAAAUACUCUAUGGCAAGUCUGGGGUUUGGUCUUUACUUCUGGUGCCAAUUAACUUCAUCUUCCUUUUCUCUUUGGUCCGUGGAAUUACUCUGCACUCUUUGCAAUGAUG
rnacentral:lncRNA from 1 species